UACGUAGGGUGCAAGCGUUAAUCGGAAUUACUGGGCGUAAAGCGUGCGCAGGCGGUGAUGUAAGACAGGUGUGAAAUCCCCGGGCUUAACCUGGGAACUGCAUUUGUGACUGCAUCGCUGGAGUGCGGCAGAGGGGGAUGGAAUUCCGCGUGUAGCAGUGAAAUGCGUAGAUAUGUGGAGGAACACCGAUGGCGAAGGCAAUCCCCUGGGCCUGCACUGACGCUCAUGCACGAAAGCGUGGGGAGCAAACAGG
rnacentral:rRNA from 1 species